CCUACGGGAGGCAGCAGUGAGGAAUAUUGGUCAAUGGACGAGAGUCUGAACCAGCCAAGUAGCGUGAAGGAUGACUGCCCUAUGGGUUGUAAACUUCUUUUAUAUGGGAAUAAAAUGUUCCAAGUGUGGGAUUUUGUAUGUACCAUAUGAAUAAGGAUCGGCUAACUCCGUGCCAGCAGCCGCGGUAAUACGGAGGAUACGAGCGUUAUCAGGAUUUAUUGGGUUUAAAGGGAGCGUAGGUGGAUGGUUAAGUCAGUUGUGAAAGUUUGCGGCUCAAACGUAAAAUUGCAUUUGAAACUGGCAGUCGUGAGUACAGUAGAGGUGGGCGGAAUUCGUGGUGUAGCGGUGAAAUGCUUAGAUAUCACGAAGAACUCCGAUUGCGAAGGCAGCUCACUGGACUGCAACUGACACUGAGGCUCGAAAGUGUGGGUAUCAAACAGGAUUAGAUACCCCAGUAGUC
rnacentral:rRNA from 1 species